CGUUGAUUACGUCCCUGCCCUUUGUACACACCGCCCGUCGCUACUACCGAUUGAAUGGCUCAGUGAGGCUUUCGGACUGGCCCAGAGAGGUCGGCAACGACCACUCAGGG
rnacentral:rRNA from 1 species